CAAAGAGCAGCUAGAAAUUUGUGGAAUUUAUCAUUUCACCUCCUACAAACUCAAACACAAAGGACAGAAAGAGAAGGACCUUCACCUGCGCAACAGCUGCUCCCACCGUGUGCCUCUGAUGAAAAAGACUUAUUUUUAAGGAAUAAAAUUAAAAAACCGAGAGGGAAGAGGCGAGAGACGAAACCCCCAAAAUUAGGAUUUCUUUUCUUUCUUUUUUUAACCAAAGGAGGCGGCCUCCAGAGUUAAUCAUGGAGAAUGUCGAUCAUCCAAGACUAGAAUUUAAAUGCAGGACCAUCUGUAAUUGUGAAAAGUUAAUUAGCCCGACGCGCAACGCGGUCAUGUUCGGGGCAAGCGGCUCCAAAGCGGAGCCCUCCGCGCAGGCAGCCUGCCACCGCCUAAUGAGUGUCUCCCGGUGCGCAGGUUUAUCAUCUGAGCACUUUUGGUGAAGGUUACAUUUGAAUAAUUUCCAAGCCUCAGUUAGAGAUAUUGUUUAAUGUGCGCAUUGUAUCCUAAUGGAAUUAAGACUAGACGACAAAGAAAGGAGGAACACUGACGAUGCACACAUCCUGGUUGUGGGGAAACUUCAAGGCCAAUGAAGCUUUAUUUAAUAUACUAUAUAUAAAAAAAACACAUUUAAAAAGAGUAUAGCAGCUACAUUAAACUCUUUUAAUGUGCAUGAUAAAUCAGUGUCCUAAUAAAUGUAUCAAAAUCUCUCUCUGAGGGAUAAAUUGUUUCCCUUCCUGUUGAAUUAAGAUUUAUUUACUAUUACUUCAUUGAUUAAACCAUCCAGAUCUACUAAUCAACAUAAUUAAGGAAUUUAAUUAAAUCACACUACGGUCUACUUCCUAAUAAUUUAAUUUAGAAAAAAAAAGAAAGACAACGAGCUAAAGCGAAAGAUGGCAGCACCAAUUCAGCAGACCUCUGCUUCAGCUGGGGGGAUAUCUGAGUAAGAAACUGUUGUCCGAGGUGCAACUCUGAGAAGGUUUCUUAGACGUUUCACGCUAAAGGGGCCGUAACGGCUUUGAUGUCUCUGAGACGUAAUGUUUGAGAGAGAACAAAAUUGGGGAGAGAGGAAUUGGAUUCACCAGUUUUGUGUACUAGAACAGCCAUUAGAGAGCAGCGGGGUGUGGGGGGGUUCUGACAUAUCUGGGAAAGUCUUUUUCAUGGCUUGUGUUUCUCUCUGAUUGGUUCUCGGGGACUACCUUGUCAAGGACAGAGUCGUCAUGAGGGCCCCAUCAGCCAAUGGGAGUUGAAGAGCCAAGCACUCAUGGAAAGAAAGAUGUCUUCUGACAUUUUUUUUCACAUUCUUUAGGAGAAACGCAGAAAAUAAGACACUAAAUCUUUAAAUACAUAGAGCUGAAGCUGUUUUACAUUCAAUGUUUCAAUCAUAUAGUCUUUCCUUUCCUUGCCUAUCCUCUUUGUAUCCUUCCUUCCUUGUGACCUAACUCUAGUCCUUCUUUGUCCCAUUGCUUCCUCUCAUUCCUGCCUUCUUAACCGUUUUUGCUUCCUAUCUUCUUUCCUUUCCUUGUGUCCUUCCUUCCUUGUCUUCUUGAUGCCUAUGCUUAUUUGCUUCCUUCUUCCUAACCUUCCAUCCUUGUUACCAGGCUCCUUUUGUUUCUGUCCUUGAUUUCUUUUGUUCUGUCUUUAUUCAUCCCUUGUGUCCUUUCUUUCUUUGAAGUGUCUUUCUUUUGUCCUUCCUUUCUUUUCUUCCUUCUCUUUCCUUCUUUCCCUUUUUUCUUUCAUUCUUUCAACAUUGCUUGUGUAUUUCCUUCCUUUCCCCUUUCGUUUCUUCACUCAUUGCGUAAGUUCUACUUUCCUUCCCUGCUGUCUUUUCCUUCCUUCCUCCCUUUUUACACUUUACAAAUCUUUUCCGAUUCAUUUGUGUCUUUAAUCUGUUGAAUCAACAGAAAUACAUCGAAAUGUAACUGAACAGGAUUUUGCUGAUUCUCCCUCUGAUUCCCCCGGGUGUUUUUUUGCAUUUUGUCAGUGCGUGUCACAAGCGAAGGGCUUCACUUAUCUACUGUUAUUAUGACCAUUACUCCUAUAACAUCAGACCAACGCCCAGAAGCUGAGCCAGUGUCUGAACUGUCUCCACAUCCUGAUCAGUGCGCAUCCCCUCCACCGGCACCGAGUGAGCGAGUGAGUGAGUGAGUGAGGGGAGGGAGGGAAGGAGGGAAGGAGGGAGGCUUCAUCCAUUUCUCCUCCGUGCCGCCGCCGCGCCCCUUUGACCACGCUUGAUUCGCAACAAUGGGAGGACAGAGAGAGAGAGAGAGAGAAAGAGAGAGAGAGAUGAUCGCAGUAGCAGAGCCAGAGAUUCCAGGAUCUAAAGGGUGAAGUGUAUAUCUACCUCUCUGAUUUUUUUUUUAAACUGUUCCCAUUGUUAUCCCUUCACUUUCUUUUUAAUCGCAAGGGAAAAGAGCAGGCUCUUUUUUCUUUUUCUUUUCUCUCUUUUUUCUGAGAAUGGAAAGCAAAAAAAGAGAGAGAGAGUGUGUGUGUUCAAGGGGGGCGUUUCCCCUCUUUUCCUCUCUCUCUCUCUCCCUCUCUCUCUCUUUUUCUCUGUUCAGUGUGAUUUCCAGAUAUUGCCAACACGCAGCCGUCGACUUGAGUUGCGCGGAGAGGAACUGACAGACUUCCACCAACAAUGGGGGAACCCUGGGCGGUCGGAGCAGCUCUGGAAACCUCCACCCUUUCCCCUCCAACUCUCUCCUGCCACGCCGCUGCCAAGCAGGCGGGUGUGUGUAUGGGGGGGACGAUGGAGGGACGGGAGGCGGGAGAGACGGUGGAGGGGAGUGACCGCUUGCUCCCGUCUCGACCACGGGUAUUCUUGGGUUGAUAAUACAGAUGUCGAUGUUAUUGCUUGAGAAUACGCGUAGCUGAGCGGAAGCCAUCGUCCUCAGAUGUGUUUUCACCCCGAUGCGGGCGCCCUCACCCCAUUCCCGAUCCUCACCCAAACUUGUCCCCUCUUCUUCCUUCCCCUCCUCAGUCCUUCUACCUCUCUUACAGCAUCCUCCUCUCAGCAUCUCAGCAGGAAGUAAGCUCCUUCCAAGCGUGCAUCACACACCUUUUUAGCUCUGAUUGUUCAUCCGCUUGACAGAUGCCCUUAUCAGAGUGCAAGAGAAGAGGGAGAAUCCAAUAAGUGCACACGGGGUGGCGGCGGAGGGAGGGGACGGUGGCGAGACAUGACUCCGCACGACAGGACAGAGGGCCCAACGCAGUUGCACUGGAUCCUGUGGCUCGUCGCGUAUAAGGUCACAGUCAAAGAGCAAA